CUCACCUGCUUCUAGUGGGAGAGGGUGUGACACCUGAGAGGGCAGGUUCAGGGUCGAGCCCUCUGUUCAUUUCCUGGAUAUGCCUGCUCAUGUCCUCCCACGCCACUGUCUUCUGUGUACACAAGAACCCAUGGCAGCACUUUUUCCCCUCUCCUGCCGCCUCCUUCACAGGCCCCAUUUCAGGCAUAAUACAAAGGAACAGGGCUUCCUGCUUGAAGGUGCUGAUCCAGGGAUCAACAGGACUGAUGACGUUGCUGUCCUCAAGGAGCUGACACUGCAGUGUGAGUGGACAAAUUCAGAGGACAAAUUCCGAUCAGUGUUCCCUCUUCCAGCACACAUUCACUGAGGUCCUACUGCAUGCUCCAGACAUGGAAGCACGGCAGGGAGUGAAGCAGGCAGAGGUCUCCAUUCUUAUGGGAUGAUAGUCUAGCAGGGGAGACAGAGAAAACAAAAGUAAAACAUAAACAAAGCUAAUUAACCUGAACCCAGGUCAUCAAUCUGUUGAAUUCAGCAAAUUGUAUUCCAGUGAUUCAAUAUGGAAACAGAGGCCUAGCUAAGUGGUGGCUCAUUCUUGGAGACCCAGCUCAGAUGUCACCUUAUGAGGCCCUGCUGGAUCCUUACCACUCCCCCA
rnacentral:lncRNA from 1 species